GCUUUAGAAGAUGGGUCGUGGAUGUUUGAUAAGGAUUUGGUGGUCGUCGAGGAUUAUGUCCCUAGCAAGAGGCCGGAGGAUUACACCCGCAAUAAUAUCCCAAUAUGGGUUAGGGUUUACAACCUUCCCCUGGGUAUGAUGAGAGGAAGCGCGGAAGAUACUGGAAACAUCAUUGGAGUUUUUGUUGAAGUGGAUACAGGGUCGGAUGGGAAGGCGUCUGGGAGGUUCCUUCAUGUUAAAGUGAGAAUGCAAAUUGAUAAACCUUUGAUGAGAGGAUUUACUCUUGAGGAGGAGCGGGUGGAAGCUGGAGCUGAAGGUUCGGAGAGGACAACCAUGGUGCAUGGGGAGGAAGAGGAAGGGAGGGACUGGUGCAGAUUGGAGUAUGAGUACUUACUGGACUUCUGUUAUACUUGCGGGAUCAUUGGCCACGGAGAGAAGGACUGCGUCACUAAACUGAAGAAAGGUGAACAACCACAGUUUGGUCGCUAGCUGAGGGCUGACGUAGGAUAG
rnacentral:rRNA from 1 species